rnacentral:rRNA from 1 species
UGGGGAAUAUUGGACAAUGGGCGCAAGCCUGAUCCAGCCAUGCCGCGUGAGUGAUGAAGGCCAUAGGGUUGUAAAGCUCUUUAACCGGUGAAGAUAAUGACGGUAACCGGAGAAGAAGCCCCGGCUAACUUAGUGCCAGCAGCCGCGGUAAUACGCAGGGGGCUAGCGUUGUUCGGAUUUACUGGGCGUAAAGCGCACGUAGGCGGACUUUUAAGUCAGGGGUGAAAUCCCGGGGCUCAACCCCGGAACUGCCUUUGAUACUGGAAGUCUUGAGUAUGGUAGAGGUGAGUGGAAUUCCGAGUGUAGAGGUGAAAUUCGUAGAUAUUCGGAGGAACACCAGUGGCGAAGGCGGCUCACUGGACCAUUACGGACCCUGAGGUUCGAAAGCGUGUGGAGCAAACAGG